rnacentral:rRNA from 1 species
AUGGCCUCACUCUUCUCGCUGUGCCUCGUGGCCCUCCUCCUCCUGUCGACGGCGUCAGCCGAGCCAUCGCGGGCCAGUCCUGCAGCCGGUAGCGUCGACGGAUGGCUAAACGAGGCAGUGCCGGAGGCAGCACCCAGAGGGUCUGAAGGCGAUGCCGCCCACGCCCCCGCCCCCGCCCCCGCUGAUGGAAUCGCGGUGCCGCCGCCGCCGCCGGGGAGGCAACGGUUCAGGACCCCUCCCCACCCUUUCGAGCUCAGCCCCGAUGCGAGGCGAGGGCUGGAGCACGAGGCUCGCUGCGGGCCGCGCGUCCCGGUGCGGCGGGGCUCCCCCAGGACGCAGUGGAAGCCGCGGUGCCGUGGCGACGACGAUGGCAAUGCCGCGGACGGGAGCACGACCGGCGCGGCGGGUGCUCCGGCGUCAGCGUGGCUGCCGUUGGACGUCAAGGAACCGUAG